AGGAGCGGCGGGGAGGGGUCGGAGGGUCCGGGCGCGGGGCGUGGGUACCGCGGCGCCUACCCCGGGCCGGCCAGUCUGCCGCGCGGCGCCACGCACCCGCACCACCCCGUAUCUCGAGUCACAAUCACGAGUGUGCCGUCUAUCAGUCCACAAGGACAAGUGAAUAUGGGCGAUGGGAUGUAUCCUCACUUCUCCCACCACCAUUACCAAAUGUACCAGCAGCAUUUCCGUGCAACGCAGCACGAAGGACGGACCACCACUUCCCCGUUUCCAAGAGGCCCACUCGAGGCGGAAGGCAGCGAGGCGCCCUCGUCCCCACUGGAGCUGCUCCGGAGGCCGCCCUCGGCCAGAGUGCCGCGCCCCGCGCAUUCGCCCUC